GUCGGGAUAGCUCAGUUGGNAGAGCA
rnacentral:tRNA from 1 species